rnacentral:rRNA from 1 species
CAAUGCAGUUUACAGCCUGAGCACACCCCGUCUUGUCCGAUCUUGAAAGCUACGUAGGGAUUGGCCUGGUUAGUAUUUGGAUGGGAGAAUACCAGGUGCAAUAUGUGGUGGCUGUAGAGC